AUGCGAGAGCCCCUAUAUAAGUGGGCCAAAGAGAAGGUUCUGGCAUUCGGUACAAUAAAAUCUGUUGGAAUCUACCAGCGUGUGUCUUGGUGCGUUUUCCUUUGGAAGACUGACCCACAGCACAACUGGGAGAAGAGAGGCGGAAUGGAAGGAGUGGACACCCAAAUCCAAAAACUGGACAUUGGUUCUCAACUGGGAAAGCCCUGGACACAUUGCGCUUCUUGGGGAUUGUGCACCUCUUUCUUUUCAAAUCGACAAGGAGAUCGGGUUGGAUUCCCAUUCCCAGGCGCAAAGGCUCGAGACAAGGAGGGGACACUCCACCUGGGUGACCUAUCUUUAUUGGGUUCUGCAGUGCUGCGAGGACAAAGGAGGCACGCACACGGUCCGGUGGGGGUUUGGGGUCUCCAGGUCGCAAAGCUGCUUGCCAUUGAGUCCCUUCCGGGUCGCCAAACGUGGGCCGAGAAGGCACGAAUGCCGCCGCGUUUGGGACCCUUUGGGACUCCGGUUCCUGGCAUUAUUCCUAAACUACCCGAUUCGUCGUCGAUCCGCUCCUUCGGAUUUUGCGCAAUCCUGCCCUUUGUCGAAAAAAUUACGAUUUUGGGCUUUUCUUUUCCGUUUCGGGCCCAAUAGCUCAACCAGGAGUCUGUCCCACUGCACACGAAGUUAUUGCGUCGCUAGAAAUUGGAGGGACCGAAGGAAGAUUUGGAUUCGGAACCGUCCCGCGAUUUCACUCCCAUCCUAUUUGCUGGCAUCAUACUAUUCUGGAAACUGAAGGGAGACGAGUGGCUAGACUACGCGGAGUUAUGAGUAACAGCGAAACGCGGAUCCGGAGGCGCCUCGAUGCGCUCGUCCACAGAGGUGUACGGGGAGUACGGCGAUACAUGGGUAUGGAUGUAUAGUCCUACAUGAUUGUUUUUCCCUGAGUUGGGAGCUGGUACCCCGGCCGGUCGUUGGAGGAGGGAGGAAGGGAGAGCCGGGCCCCUUCCCCAAAAGGCAACCCCGUUCCUCCCGUUCGUUCGUUGCCGUUGCAAAGCGCCGUCCGGCGAGUGUUCCUGCACCGCUGCACCGUCCCAUCAACCUAAUCGUUGCUUAUAUCCCACGGAGCGGAGACGGCGAAAGUCGAACCAAGUCCAGCAUGCAAAGCUGAGAACGUGCCUCCGUUGCACACUUAUGCAUCUCGGUCCUUGUUUCUGACAACACCCCGUCCUUUUUGCACCCAUUGCCUUUUCUCUGUCACAAGUUACGGACCAAGGAAGGGAUAUCCGGUCUCCCUAGUCUCUCCAUCCCAGGACCAGGUGUGUGGGGUCUUCUCCGGUCCCUUCCCCCCCUCCAUGUCUCUCCGUCCGUCCGGCGGCUCG
rnacentral:lncRNA from 1 species